GAUGAACGCUGGCGGCGUGCCUAAUACAUGCAAGUCGAGCGAACGGACGAGAAGCUUGCUUCUCUGAUGUUAGCGGCGGACGGGUGAGUAACACGUGGAUAACCUACCUAUAAGACUGGGAUAACUUCGGGAAACCGGAGCUAAUACCGGAUAAUAUUUUGAACCGCAUGGUUCAAAAGUGAAAGACGGUCUUGCUGUCACUUAUAGAUGGAUCCGCGCUGCAUUAGCUAGUUGGUAAGGUAGCGGCUUACCAAGGCAACGAUGCAUAGCCGACCUGAGAGGGUGAUCGGCCACACUGGAACUGAGACACGGUCCAGACUCCUACGGGAGGCAGCAGUAGGGAAUCUUCCGCAAUGGGCGAAAGCCUGAAGGAGCAACGCCGCGUGAGUGAUGAAGGUCCUCGGAUCGUAAAACUCUGUUAUUAGGGAAGAACAUAUGUGUAAGUAACUGUGCACAUCUUGACGGUACCUAAUCAGAAAGCCACGGCUAACUACGUG
rnacentral:rRNA from 1 species